rnacentral:rRNA from 1 species
CCUACGGGUGGCAGCAGUGGGGAAUAUUGGACAAUGGGCGAAAGCCUGAUCCAGCCAUGCCGCGUGUGUGAAGAAGGCCUUCGGGUUGUAAAGCACUUUCAGUGGGGAAGAAAGCCUUGGGGCUAAUACCCUCGAGGAAGGACAUCACCCACAGAAGAAGCACCGGCUAACUCCGUGCCAGCAGCCGCGGUAAUACGGAGGGUGCGAGCGUUAAUCGGAAUUACUGGGCGUAAAGCGCGCGUAGGCGGUCUGAUAAGCCGGAUGUGAAAGCCCCGGGCUCAACCUGGGAACGGCAUCCGGAACGGUCAGGCUAGAGUGUAGGAGAGGAAGGUAGAAUUCCCGGUGUAGCGGUGAAAUGCGUAGAGAUCGGGAGGAAUACCAGUGGCGAAGGCGGCCUUCUGGACAAAGACUGACGCUGAGGUGCGAAAGCGUGGGUAGCAAACAGGAUUAGAUACCCGUGUAGUC